rnacentral:rRNA from 1 species
AAGGCUAAAUACUCCUGACUGACCGAUAGUGAACCAGUACCGUGAGGGAAAGGCGAAAAGAACCCCGGCGAGGGGAGUGAAAAAGAACCUGAAACCGUGUACGUACAAGCAGUGGGAGCCCCACCACCAAAGCAUUCUCUGGUGUUGAAGGCCCUGCAAAGCAGCAUCGCGGUGGCGGAGCGUCGUUUGCGACGCCCAACACACAAAACAAGCGGUGAGUGCUUUGGGGUGGGGUGACUGCGUACCUUUUGUAUAAUGGGUCAGCGACUUAUAUUCUGUAGCAAGGUUAACCGAAUAGGGGAGCCGGAGGGAAACCGAGUCUUAAUUGGGCGUUAAGUUGCAGGGUAUAGACCC